rnacentral:rRNA from 1 species
AGAUUGAACGCUGGCGGCAUGCCUUACACAUGCAAGUCGAACGGCAGCACGGGGGCAACCCUGGUGGCGAGUGGCGAACGGGUGAGUAAUGCAUCGGAACGUGCCCAGUAGUGGGGGAUAACUAGUCGAAAGAUUAGCUAAUACCGCAUACGACCUAUUGGUGAAAGCGGGGGAUUCGCAAGAACCUCGCGCUAUCGGAGCGGCCGAUGUCUGAUUAGCUAGUUGGCGGGGUAAAAGCCCACCAAGGCUUCGAUCAGUAGCUGGUCUGAGAGGACGACCAGCCACACUGGGACUGAGACACGGCCCAGACUCCUACGGGAGGCAGCAGUGGGGAAUUUUGGACAAUGGGCGCAAGCCUGAUCCAGCCAUGCCGCGUGCGGGAAGAAGGCCUUCGGUUGUAAACCGCUUUGGCAGGAACGAAACGGCGCGAGCAAAAUAUCUCGCGUUAAUGACGGUACCUGCAGAAUAAGCACUGGACUAACUACGUGCACGCACGG